GCUGCACCAGCUGUGACCUAAUGUGGUCCCCCUCAGUUAAGGACAUCCUGGGUAGUGGAUAUUGGCCUGGCACCUUAAAUUUCUGCACCCUGUUUUCAAUGGAUGUCUUUCAGUCUUUCUAUGACAUUAAGAAGGCUGCACCAGGGAUGUCACUUAAGGCAUUUGUCAAAAUGCUGGAUGAAAGAACAGCCCAUUUUGGAAGGACUGGCCGAAUAUCAGCUGAUGCCUUCAGUAAAAGCUUUGUGGAGUGGAGUGCUGUUUGAGAUGGACAGGAUGUGCAAGGAGCCAUGCGUUAGCUGCCCUGCCUGCACUCCAGACGUGCUUGCCGUCUCAGUUGAUGGAAACUGUAAGCUUUAUCGCUUUCAAUCUAAUGCAAGCACUUCAGAGCAGGGGAACUUUGAAGGUGUUUUCAUUGAAAAAGAUGAGGAAGUUGCUGAGUUUAUGAAAUACAUCCAGAGACACACAAAUGAGGUGGCUCAGCUGAGGAACCUCUUGUCAAUGCGUCCUUUUCUCUCCGUCAUGCAUGCAAAGGCUCUCAUUUGGAAAUGCGAGAUCAAAUGGGGAGGUGCGUUUCAGGAUGGGGCCGGUUCUACAACAGGAAAAGAGGUGGGACAAGUAAACAGUUUCCUGUCUAGGGCGGCCACUGAAGUACAUGUCUAAAGCAGGGCGAACAGACAUGCUGACCCUCCUGGCUUUGGGGUGGAACAAAAGGAAAGUGGAACAACUGGGCCGCAGUUUGAGCCAGAGAUAUCUCAAGAUCAUACGGAUCCUUAGAGAACAAGUGGAGAGCCUGAAUGCGACCAAAAAUGAGCUGGGUGUGGAUGACGACACACUGCAGCAAUGGGUGGCCGAUGUGCAGAAAUGGGCUGAAGAUAGCAACAAGAGGCGACACAGAAUUCGCAAGGUCAUCUUAGAUGAGAAGAAACGCUUGGCGGCUGCUGUUGACGACCACAACAAGCUUGCUGAACCAACAAAGCAAAUUGUAUCCAGUGAUGCCCUCAUCCAGACCGACAUUUGGCUCUGGCAGAGCACAAGUGAACCUGCUGCAGACCUCCAGACAAAGAGGUCUUUGAGAAGGUGAUGGCUGUGAGGCGCCUGAGAGAGGAGGAGAUGAUCCUUUGCAGGGAGAUGCGGCAUCACUGGACAGUGUUGCGAAUGCGAUCUGUGGUGUUGGACAAUCUCCUCAGACU
ensembl:lncRNA